GAAGUCUAGUGGUUAAGAUUCAGCACUCUCACUGCUGCAGCCCAGGUUUGUUUCCUGGUCA
rnacentral:tRNA from 1 species